rnacentral:lncRNA from 10 species
CCGUGGGAGGGAAGGCACUCUCUGUCAAGCUGCUGUCACCUUACCUGAAGUAAGGAGUCCACGCCUGCAUGUCCGAGGAAAACAGUUUUCUCAAACACAUUAGUUGAAAAACUGAAGACGCUGCCUAAAAUACAAGCUGAGUUAGAGACAGCCCUUGUAAGACUAGAAAAAGAAAUGGAAACUAAGUAACAUGAAUUAACAUAGUCCAGGGUCACAAAGCAACAUGGAACAAGAACCUGGAUCUGAAUUCAGAGGCAGAAUGCUGGGUAAGUAUGACGAUGCUUAUUGUUGGCCCACCUGUGGGAAUUGGGGGUUAGGGACAGGUUUCCCAACCUUGUGAUGACUAUAGGAACCGGGAUUCAAGGGAGACACAGGCAUAAAGGAAGAUGUCAGGGAGACCAUCAACAAAGUAUCAUGUAAGGCAGGAAUUUGCUCACAGGAAAAUGGGAAGGAUAAAAGGGGACGUUAGUGAGAAUGUCAUUUUAAUAUUCAGUUCACUAAUCUCCAAAGACCGAUGUUCUAAAAGAAAGUGUGAAUAAAAUAGUUUAACAUCUUAUUAUGCAAUAUCUAUCACUGAUGAUAGGCACAUAAGGAGUUCUCGUUACAUCUACUUAAUUUGCCAGAUUAACUGAUGCUCCUUGUUCCUUCUUUCUUUACUUUUUCUUUUUAGAGAUAGGGU